GGCGGCGUAGCUUAACACAUGCAAGUCGAACGAGAGGACAAGAGAAGCUUGCUUCUUUGGUAAUCGAGUGGCAAACGGGUGAGUAACACGUAAACAACCUGCCUUCAGGAUGGGACAACAGACGGAAACGACUGCUAAUACCGAAUACGCUUGGGAGACCGCAUGAUCUUCCAAGGAAAGGGUGGCCUCUACUUGUAAGCUAUCGCCUGAAGAGGGGUUUGCGUCUGAUUAGGCAGUUGGUGAGGUAACGGCCCACCAAACCUACGAUCAGUAGCCGGUCUGAGAGGAUGAACGGCCACACUGGAACUGAGACACGGUCCAGACUCCUACGGGAGGCAGCAGUGGGGAAUCUUCCGCAAUGGGCGAAAGCCUGACGGAGCAACGCCGCGUGAGUGAUGACGGCCUUCGGGUUGUAAAGCUCUGUGAUCGGGGACGAACGGUCCGUAAGCCAAUACCUUAUGGAAGUGACGGUACCCGAAUAGCAAGCCACGGCUAACUACGUG
rnacentral:rRNA from 1 species